CGCAGGACCACUGCGCAGCUGCGGUGCGCAUAUAAGAGAAGUCGGAACCGGAAGUCCCGCCUCUUCCCUUCAGGACACAACCCCGAGCAGAGAGCAGCGCUGCACAGCCUCACGUCUGCAGAAUAAACACGUUUAAUGCAGUUUCAUCUGCGUUGCAAAGAUAUGCAGAUGAAGAUGGCAAGUUUGAUCCAUCACACCUGAUAAGAUGUGAAGCCACUACAGAUGGCCAAAUAUUGGUUUUCACCGUGCGGUCCUUGAGAUGUGAAGCCACCACCGCUACAGAUGGCCAAAUAUCGGUUUUCACCGUGCGGUCCUUGAGAUGUGAAGCCACUACAGAUGGCCAAAUAUUGGUUUUCACCGUGCGGUCCUUGAGAUGUGAAGCCACCACUGCCUUCUACAGAUGGCCAAAUAUUGGUUUUCACCGUGCGGUCCUUGAGAUGUGAAGCCACCACUGCCUUCUACAGAUGGCCAAAUAUUGGUUUUCACCAUGCGGUCCUUGAGAUGUGAAGCCACCACCACUACAGAUGGCCAAAUAUUGGUUUUCACCGUGCGGUCCUUGAGCUGCUUCAGAAGUCACACUUGGGUCCCAGGAGAUGCACCUGAUUAGAUUCUGUGCUGAUCAGGAGAGUUGCUGAAGUUGAUGGAUUAUCAGUUGGAGGAAAUCUGAAGUCAGUUGGCAGAUUUUAAAGAAAUAAUAAAACUUUCUUCAAGAAAAAUGGCUUGACUUUAUCUUUUGAAUUGGGUUGCCUGCAUAUCGUUUUCAACUGAGUAUUAAAUUUGAAUUAAAAUUUAAGGUGGUUGUGUAUGUAUUGAGUCUCCAGCUAUGAAGGAAUGAAAAAUAAAUAAUUGCAUCAACUGGGUUGUGGUUGGUGCGAUCUUGUUCUGCCUACCUGCUAAAUCUUCCGAGAGG